GACAGCUUGCGAGUGGUUAAGGCGAUGGACUUGAAAUCCAUUGGGUAACCUGCGUGAGUUCAAAUCUCACAGCUGUCG
rnacentral:tRNA from 1 species